rnacentral:rRNA from 1 species
GGAUUAGAUACCCUGGUAGUCCACGCCCUAAACGAUGAGAACUAGCCGUUGGGGGUACUUGAAACCCUUUGUGGCGCAGCUAACGCGAUAAGUUCUCCGCCUGGGGAGUACGGCCGCAAGGUUAAAACUCAAAGGAAUUGACGGGGGCCCGCACAAGCGGUGGAGCAUGUGGUUUAAUUCGAUGCAACGCGAAGAACCUUACCUGCCUUUGACAUCCUCGGAACCAACCAGAGAUGGAUGGGUGCCUUCGGGAACCGAGAGACAGGUGCUGCAUGGCUGUCGUCAGCUCGUGUCG